AACCGGCAUUGCGGGAGAUGAUGAAGGAGUGACUCCAUUGGCUACAUUAGAUGAUGUUGGCACAGUCAUCCCCAUACCAUGAACGGGAAAGAGUUGUUGUGGAUGAUACCCUAAAUGGGCAGGUGGAUGAACAGAAACCGCUGGAUUAUGUGGAUACCAUUGUUGCGGUGGAGGAGGCAUAGGCCAUGCAGGACCAGGAGGCCGAAUAGAAGCACCGGGAUAGUACCUAUUGACAGAAAAUAAUAUAACAUGAUCAAAAGUGAUAAAAUAUAAAAAAUAUCUUAGAUAAGAAAACAAUAGUGGAACAGUUAUUCUAAGCCAUAGUUCUAUAUUGUACAAUCUUAAGAGCGAACUAAGGAAAAAAAAAAGAACCUUGUGGAUCAUAUUUGGUCAAAUUUUAGGACCAGGAAACGAAAAAAGUAGCUAUGGAUCAAAUUAUGAAGAAAACAGAGACAACAUCCUAAGAUCCUACAAGUCACAGCAAAACAGAGAAUAUAGUGUACAUACAUAGGUCGCACAGCACCAGGCACUUGUUGAGGUUGAUAUACCAUUCCGUAAGGUCUAGGAACUGCGGCACCAAUAGGGACGGAAGGAAUCUCAACUUUUGCAACUUUGGCUAGAGACUCUUCCUCUGGCAGAAAACACAGCGUCAGUACACUAACUAAUGCAAAAUAAAGAAGAUGACAUGAACAGUAAUGCAAACAAUAAUACAUGUCAAGUUGUCAAGUCCAUUUACCUUCUUCUCCGUAGUGAGCAGCCAAGAGAUGAGGUGGGAUUCCUUGCAUUCCGUAUAUUUCAAUAUCAGUUGAAUCUCGACCGUCUUUAGCAUUAGGAACCCUAAUGGGAAAACAUAUCAAAGUUAGAGCAGUGUAUGAAAUCAGAAGAUGUGAUGUGAGAACUAUAACAUUAUGCAUCAUCUCUAGCUACAAGCCCAAGCCCAAGCAAGAACAGCUACUAAAAGGAUCAAUUACCCUUUUUAAUACACCCAACCAAACCAAGACUUAAAAUUCGAUAUGCAAACACAUUGAACCCCCUUGAAAUCUCCCUAUCAAACAAUCAAAAGAGUGGUCCUUUCCGAUAAUGCAAUAAAGAUUCAAUUUUUUAAAUAGAAAUCAAAAGAUGAUCAGGCACAUACUUUGUAACGUUCUCUUUAUGAACCUGAAGGACAUGAAUGACCAUUCCGCUAGCUGUAGAGAGCUUCUUGUGGCAGGCAUGGCACUUGAAGUGUUUCGCUUUCUGGUGCUGCACUAGUAUCUUCUCGUCCUCGAACUCUCUGUCGCAGUAAUAGCACCACACCUUCUCCGUCGCUCUCUUCUUCUUCUUCCCCAUCACCCUGUCUGUUUAUCUCACGAAUGAUCGCUUCCCUCCCUCUCCUUCCGCUCGCUAGGGUUUCUGUUCCCACAAUCUAUUUGCUUCUGCGAUCUCUAGAUUCUUCUUCUUUUCUUUUAUUUAGAAGACGUGUCAUGAUAAGAUUAUUUUUACGGUGCUCAUUUGGAAAUUUCACCUUUUUAUGUAGGGCCAAAUUGUAAUUCUACUAUUUUAGUUCUAACUUGAACAUCAGUUUUUUUUCUUUCUUUUAACUCAUCAACAAACUUUAUAUUCACCAAAAUUGAGGACAAGGUGGUGUUUAGGGGUGUCAAAAAUGAGCUGACAACUCGCUCAACUCAGCUUAGCUCAUAGUGAGCUCAUAUAUUUCAUGAGCUAACUCAACUCAGUUCAUUUAUUAUAUGAAAUUUCAUAUGUAAAUUCGAACUCAGAUCAUCUAGUUAAAUGAGCUAACUCGCGAUUAAAUAUAAAAAAAUAAAUUAUAUAAUAUAAAAUAAAAUAAUUUUCAUAAUAUAAUUCAAAAUUUUGAAUAUUAGAAAUCCAAAACAUUAAUAUUAAACUAGAUUCUGACCCGUCCUUAUUUUUUUGUUUUACAUUUUUUUAGAAAUUUAAUUUUUAUAUUUAUGUUUUAUUAAUAUUUGUGUUUUUCUUUGUAUAAUAUAUUUAUUAUAUGAUUAAUAAGAGGUUUUAAUAAUUGUACCACACUUAUGUCAAUAGAUCUUGAUGUUGUCUUAAUAUAAUAGAUUAAAAUAAAAUAUUUAAAUUAUAACCCAUUUUGUAUUAAAAUCAUUUUUAUGCUUUAAACCUUUUUGAUACAAUUUGUUAAAAUUUACUUAUAUAAUUUGAUUUUGUUUUUUAAAUUGGAAUUAAUAUUUAUAAAUAUAUAAUAUGAAUAGUGAAUAUAAUAUGAUUAUUCAGUUGUAGUUGUUACAAAGUUGAGUAAAAUGCUAAAGUUGAUUCUAAUAUUAAAAGGUUGUCGACAUUUUUUUAGUAGGCUAGGAAGAAGUGGGUUCCUAUUAAUUUGGAAUCAAAGAAGUUGUUAUAAAUAUGUAUAAGAUAGUUAUUGUUGGACUAAACUUCGAUCUAUUGGUCAUGAUCCUGAUUUAAUAGUAUUGAUACUGAAUAAAAUCAAAACCUAAUAAUAAAUUAAAUAAAAGAUAAAUUAGUGAUCCAAAAGUCUAUUCCACAUACGAGUCUUAAGGUGAUUCAUCUUCAAAGUCUUCAUCUAUUCAAAUCAUAACGAUAUAUAUUCCGCAUGAGAGUUUGAGGAAUAUUUUGUUUUACAUUUUAAUUCUAAAGAUAUAUGAUACGAAGAUUGAUAUCAUAUUCUUUUACAUUGUUAUAUAUAUUAAAACUUUUUGGUUUUACAUUUUAAUUUUAGAAGAUAAAUAUGAUUAAUAUAAAAAGAGUUGUUGUGGAUGAUACCCUAAAUGGGCAGGUGGAUGAACAGAAACCGCUGGAUUAUGUGGAUACCAUUGUUGCGGUGGAGGAGGCAUAGGCCAUGCAGGACCAGGAGGCCGAAUAGAAGCACCGGGAUAGUACCUAUUGACAGAAAAUAAUAUAACAUGAUCAAAAGUGAUAAAAUAUAAAAAAUAUCUUAGAUAAGAAAACAAUAGUGGAACAGUUAUUCUAAGCCAUAGUUCUAUAUUGUACAAUCUUAAGAGCGAACUAAGGAAAAAAAAAAGAACCUUGUGGAUCAUAUUUGGUCAAAUUUUAGGACCAGGAAACGAAAAAAGUAGCUAUGGAUCAAAUUAUGAAGAAAACAGAGACAACAUCCUAAGAUCCUACAAGUCACAGCAAAACAGAGAAUAUAGUGUACAUACAUAGGUCGCACAGCACCAGGCACUUGUUGAGGUUGAUAUACCAUUCCGUAAGGUCUAGGAACUGCGGCACCAAUAGGGACGGAAGGAAUCUCAACUUUUGCAACUUUGGCUAGAGACUCUUCCUCUGGCAGAAAACACAGCGUCAGUACACUAACUAAUGCAAAAUAAAGAAGAUGACAUGAACAGUAAUGCAAACAAUAAUACAUGUCAAGUUGUCAAGUCCAUUUACCUUCUUCUCCGUAGUGAGCAGCCAAGAGAUGAGGUGGGAUUCCUUGCAUUCCGUAUAUUUCAAUAUCAGUUGAAUCUCGACCGUCUUUAGCAUUAGGAACCCUAAUGGGAAAACAUAUCAAAGUUAGAGCAGUGUAUGAAAUCAGAAGAUGUGAUGUGAGAACUAUAACAUUAUGCAUCAUCUCUAGCUACAAGCCCAAGCCCAAGCAAGAACAGCUACUAAAAGGAUCAAUUACCCUUUUUAAUACACCCAACCAAACCAAGACUUAAAAUUCGAUAUGCAAACACAUUGAACCCCCUUGAAAUCUCCCUAUCAAACAAUCAAAAGAGUGGUCCUUUCCGAUAAUGCAAUAAAGAUUCAAUUUUUUAAAUAGAAAUCAAAAGAUGAUCAGGCACAUACUUUGUAACGUUCUCUUUAUGAACCUGAAGGACAUGAAUGACCAUUCCGCUAGCUGUAGGAUGAUACCCUAAAUGGGCAGGUGGAUGAACAGAAACCGCUGGAUUAUGUGGAUACCAUUGUUGCGGUGGAGGAGGCAUAGGCCAUGCAGGACCAGGAGGCCGAAUAGAAGCACCGGGAUAGUAC
rnacentral:lncRNA from 1 species